rnacentral:ncRNA from 1 species
CAAGUCCACUGCGAUGAAGGAAUAGCGAACCACAUCGGCCCCGAGCCGUGCGCAGGCAUCCGCGAGGAUGUCGGCGAAGCGUCGGCGAAGCGUCGGCGAAGCGUCGGCGAAGCGUCGGCAGGGGUACGUGCAGGCCAGCCAUUGAGCCACGAUAGAAAACUGAUUCCGGGUGCCGACGCUGUCUGUGUAGCGGAAGGCGAAACGUCUGAGCGCGCAAUCGCGAGCGCCCGGAUGACCCGGCGUGGUCAUAGAACC